rnacentral:rRNA from 1 species
GACGAACGCUGGCGGCGUGCUUAACACAUGCAAGUCGAACGGAAAGGCCCUGCUUUUGUGGGGUGCUCGAGUGGCGAACGGGUGAGUAACACGUGAGUAACCUGCCCUUGACUUUGGGAUAACUUCAGGAAACUGGGGCUAAUACCGGAUAGGAGCUCCUGCUGCAUGGUGGGGGUUGGAAAGUUUCGGCGGUUGGGGAUGGACUCGCGGCUUAUCCGCUUGUUGGUGGGGUAGUGGAUUACCAAGGCUUUGACGGGUAGGCCGCCUGGGAGGGUGACCGGCGACAUUGGGCCUGAGGUACGGCCCAGUCUGCUACGGGAGGCAACAGGGGGAAAUAUUACACAGUGGGCGGAAGCCUGAUGCAGCAACGCCGCGUGCGGGAAGACGGCCUUCGGGUUAUGAACAGCUUUCGCCGGUGACGAAGCGUGAGUGACGGUAAUGGGUAAAGAAGCACCGGCUAACUACGUG